UCGGGUGUGGUGCACGGCGCACAGCAGCGGAAAUUAAUGUUCAAAUAUAUGCCUUACCUGCUGCAGACCGGGGUUCGACUCCCCGCACCCGAA